AACUGUGAGCACAAGCAGCUCUUUUUUUUCUUUCCCCCUUCUCUUUCCUUGUUUUGUGUAACUCUGAGUUCACUCUUAACAGAUGUGAUUUUUCCUUGAUGUUGUAUAAAUUAGAAAUUGAGGCAGUGCUCUUUAAUUUGCACAUCUUUGCUUCUUGAGAAACUUGGACUUCAUGGUGUCUGGAGGUCUGUUUUGUGGCAUGUACCUGCUGAAGGUAGAAGAAGCUGAGAAAAUGGAAACUGAGCAGCUGAAAUACCAGAGCCUUGGAGAGUGCUGUUGUGGAUGGCAACGAGUGUGACUCAUCUGGCUAUAGAACUGGAAGUGUAAUAUUAAAGAAAAUAAAUAACAAGACUGAAAAGAGCAUUAAAUGAGGAAAUGAGGCACCAAUGUAUGAGACAGAGGUUAGUCUACUGCAUGAAUGAAAAGUAACCCUUCCUGAUCUGUACUGGCAGCCAAGAGUGAUGUCAGACCACAAACCUUUCAUAAAACCAUUGAGACAGCUUAGGAGUUUCCUGGUAGACUUGAGACACGAGCGG